GCCGGUUUAGCUCAGUUGGUAGAGCAACUGAUUUGUAAUCAGUAGGUCGGGAGUUCGAGUCCCCCAACCGGCACCA
rnacentral:tRNA from 3 species